rnacentral:rRNA from 1 species
UACGUAGGGGGCAAGCGUUGUCCGGAUUUACUGGGUGUAAAGGGCGCGUAGGCGGCUAUAUAAGUCAGUGGUGAAAUCCUGCGGCUUAACUGCAGAACUGCCAUUGAUACUGUAUAGCUUGAGUGCGGAAGAGAGAGACGGAAUUCCAGGUGUAGUGGUGAAAUACGUAGAUAUCUGGAAGAACAUCAGUUGCGAAGGCGGUCUCUUGGUCCGCUACUGACGCUGAGGCGCGAAAGCGUGGGUAG